AUGGAUCACGCACUAAAAAUCGCGGUUUGGAAUGUACGCGGCCUCAACUCGCGUGCACGACGUUGUGCCAUCCGCUCUCUGUUGGGCACUACCGGAGCAUCCAUUGUAUGCAUUCAGGAAACUAAAAUGGCUUUGAUCUACUCGCCCAUUGUGCUUGACAUUCUCGGCUCCGAAUUUGACGCCUACACGUACCUGCCGGCUGAUGGCACGCGGGGCGGUAUUCUUCUAGCCUGGAAGAGCAGGGCUGUCACGAUCUCCGACCCGUUGCUCACCCAGAAUGCGCUCACGGCCAAGACGACCUCGCCUUGA
rnacentral:rRNA from 1 species